rnacentral:rRNA from 1 species
CCGGUAAACGGCGGCCGUAACUAUAACGGUCCUAAGGUAGCGAAAUUCCUUGUCGGGUAAGUUCCGACCUGCACGAAUGGCGUAAUGAUGGCCAGGCUGUCUCCACCCGAGACUCAGUGAAAUUGAACUCGCUGUGAAGAUGCAGUGUACCCGCGGCAAGACGGAAAGACCCCGUGAACCUUUACUAUAGCUUGACACUGAACAUUGAGCCUUGAUGUGUAGGAUAGGUGGGAGGCUUUGAAGUGUGGACGCCAGUCUGCAUGGAGCCGACCUUGAAAUACCACCCUUUAAUGUUUGAUGUUCUAACGUUGACCCGUAAUCCGGGUUGCGGACAGUGUCUGGUGGGUAGUUUGACUGGGGCGGUCUCCUCCUAAAGAGUAACGGAGGAGCACGAAGGUUGGCUAAUCCUGGUCGGACAUCAGGAGGUUAGUGCAAUGGCAUAAGCCAGCUUGACUGCGAGCGUGACGGCGCGAGCAGGUGCGAAAGCAGGUCAUAGUGAUCCGGUGGUUCUGAAUGGAAGGGCCAUCGCUCAACGGAUAAAAGGUACUCCGGGGAUAACAGGCUGAUACCGCCCAAGAGUUCAUAUCGACGGCGGUGUUUGGCACCUCGAUGUCGGCUCAUCACAUCCUGGGGCUGAAGUAGGUCCCAAGGGUAUGGCUGUUCGCCAUUUAAAGUGGUACGCGAGCUGGGUUUAGAACGUCGUGAGACAGUUCGGUCCCUAUCUGCCGUGGGCGCUGGAGAACUGAGGGGGGCUGCUCCUAGUACGAGAGGACCGGAGUGGACGCAUCACUGGUGUUCGGGUUGUCAUGCCAAUGGCACUGCCCGGUAGCUAAAUGCGGAAGAGAUAAGUGCUGAAAGCAUCUAAGCACGAAACUUGCCCCGAGAUGAGUUCUCCCUGACUCCUUGAGAGUCCUGAAGGAACGUUGAA